GAUGAACGCUGGCGGCGUGCUUAACACAUGCAAGUCGAACGGAAAGGCCCAAGCUUGUUUGGGUACUCGAGUGGCGAACGGGUGAGUAACACGUGGGUGAUCUGCCCUGCACUUCGGGAUAAGCCUGGGAAACUGGGUCUAAUACCGGAUAGGACCACUCCUUGGAUGUUGUGGUGGAAAGUUUUUUCGGUGUGGGAUGGGCUGGCGGCCAAUCAGCUUGUUGGUGGGGGAUUGGCCUACCAAGGCUGCGACGGGUAGCCGGCCGGGGAGGGGGUACGCCGACCUUGGGCCUAAGGUAGGGCCCAGCCUCCAACGGUGGGCAACGGUGGGAAGUAUUACCCAAUGGGAGCACGCCUGUUGAGGGGGCGCCCGGUGGGGAAUGCCGGCUUGCGGGUUGAAACUCCUUUCGCUAGGGACGAAGCGUUUUGUGACGGUACCUGGAGAAGAAGCACCGGCUAACUACGUG
rnacentral:rRNA from 1 species